rnacentral:misc_RNA from 1 species
AAGUCGUAACAAGGUUUCCGUAGGUGAACCUGCGGAAGGAUCAUGUUCUACACGUAUACCUUUUACCCCCCUGAACUUUUCUACUAAUUUCUUUGUUUGAAAAAACAAAGGUAAGGUUACUUACUUUAUACAACUCUUAGCAACGGAUAUCUCGGUUCUC